UGGCGGCCAUAGCGCGGUGGACCCACCUGAACCCAUGCCGAACUCAGAAGUGAAACGCCGUAGCGCCGAUGGUAGUGUGGGGUCUCCCCAUGCGAGAUUAGGACACUGCCAGGUA
rnacentral:rRNA from 1 species